GACGAACGCUGGCGGCGUGCCUAAUACAUGCAAGUAGAACGCACAGUUUAUACCGUAGCUUGCUACACCAUAAACUGUGAGUUGCGAACGGGUGAGUAACGCGUAGGUAACCUGCCUGGUAGCGCUGGAUGACUCUUGGACACGAUAGCUAAUACCGCAUAAUAUUAAUUAUUCCAUAAUAAUUGAUUGACUGAUGCAAUUGCAUAACUACAUGCUGGACCUGCGUUGUAUUAGCUAGUAGGUGAGGUAACGGCUCACCUAGGCGACGAUACAUAGCCGACCUGAGAGGGUGAUCGGCCACAAUGGGACUGAGACACGGCCCAGACUCCUAACGGGAGCAGCAGUAGGGAAUCUUCGGCAAUGGACGAAAGUCUGACCGAGCAAAGCCGCGUGAGUGAAGAAGGUUUUCGGAUCGGAAAGAUCUGUUGUAAGAGAAGGACGGGUGUGAGAGUUGAAAGUUCACACUGUGACGGUAUCUUACCAGAAAGGGACGGCUAACUACGUG
rnacentral:rRNA from 1 species